rnacentral:rRNA from 1 species
CCUACGGGAGGCAGCAGUGGGGAAUAUUGCACAAUGGGGGAAACCCUGAUGCAGCGACGCCGCGUGAGUGAAGAAGUAUCUAGGUAUGUAAAGCUCUAUCAGCAGGGAAGAAAAUGACGGUACCUGACUAAUAAGCCCCGGCUAACUACGUGCCAGCAGCCGCGGUAAUACGGAGGGGGCAAGCGUUAUCCGGAUUUACUGGGUGUAAAGGGAGCGUAGGCGGGAAGGUAAGCCAGAAGUGAAAGCCUGCGGCUCAACCGUGGGAAUGCAUUUGGAACUAGCUAGCUAGAUUGCAGGAGAGGUAAGUGGAAUUCCUGGUGUAGCGGUGAAAUGCGUAGAUAUUAGGAGGAACACCAGUGGCGAAGGAGGCUUACUGGACUGUAAAUGACGCUGAGGCUCGAAAGCGUGGGGAGCAAACAGGAUUAGAUACCCCUGUAGUC